GCUGGUUCAUAUACAUGUGUUAACGUUAGCUUACAAGGGGUACAUUUACAUAAAUGGCUUUCCAGAUAUAUAACACUUAUGACAUCAUAUUAUUACUACUGUCAGCGGAAAUCAGAUCGUUUUUCAAAAGUUAGUGCUUGACUGCCACCUAUCGCCAAUGAAGAAAACAUCACUGCCCGCGAGUUGCAGAACUCCUUCAGCAUGGUUUUUACAGUCAACUGGGAUUCGGUUGACCUGAUAGUGGAACAACUGCAUCUGGAAAAAUGGGCAGUCAAGAAUGUAAUUACCAUGUUAGACGAAGACAAUACUAUACCAUUCAUUGCAAGGUAUAGAAAAGAACAGACAAACAACAUGUCUGUUGAUAAAUUGAGAGAGAUUUUGGCUCUUCAUCAAGACUUGAAGACUUUGAUAUCGAAAAUAAACAAUGUGUGCAAAAGCAUAGAAAAGCUUGGGAAAAUGAACCCACAACUGCAAGCUGCUUUCCAAAAUGCACAGAGCGCUGAAGAAGUGGAUCACUUGUAUGCCCCUUACAAGCCUGGCAGCAAAAGAUCACUAGCAGAAAGAGCUAGAGAGUUGGGAUUGGAGCCUCUGGCUAUGAAGGUUUUGCAGUCUCCAAACACUGUGGAUCUGAAUAUGUUUGUCAAAGCUGGACAGGAAGGUUUAUCAUCAGUUUCAGAAGUGGAGGAGGGCACAAAGCAUAUCAUUGCAGAUGUCAUUGCUAAGAAUAAGGAAACCAUGGAUAAAAUGAGAGACCUGUGCCAACAUGCAUAUAUUACGCUGGAAAGCACAAUGUCUAAAAGUCUAACAAAGAAAACAAAAUCCAAGGAGACUACCUCAACUGCUGCUGGAUCAGAAAAGAAUAUUGUCGAGAAGAAAAAUGAAAAGACGUCUAAGCAAGACAAAAAAGCAGAUGCACAAAAAUAUGAACAAUACUUUGAUUUCAAAGUGCCAGUCAAAUAUGCCAAGCCACAUCAGGUUUUAGCAAUGAAUCGAGGCGAGCACCAAAAGAUAUUGAGUGUGAAAGUCAACAUCCCAGAACAAGUAAAGCAAAGUUUCUGCCAAUACUGCCAGAGGAGAUGGAUUCCUCCUCAAGCCAGUGCACACCUCCGGAAACUCAUCUCUGAUGCUAUAGAGGAUGCAUACACAAGACUUAUUUCUCCACUCAUGUGUAGACACUACAGAUCUGAGUUGACCAAGAUGGCAGAAAAGGCUUCUGUUGAAGUAUUUGCCUCAAACCUGAAGAGACUUUUGCUCAUGCCACCUGUGAGAAACAGGGUGGUACUUGGUGUGGACCCAGGAUUUAAGAAUGGCUGUAAAUUGGCUGUUAUAUCCCAGACAGGUCAGAUUCUUGAAACUGGUGUUAGCUAUCUACAUGUAGGACGAGCUGCUGAAAAAGAGAGAGAGAAAAUAAAGGAGAUAUGCUUAAAGUACAGAUGUGAAACUGUAGCCAUAGGUAAUGGAACCGCUUGUAGGGAGACUGAAGCUGCAUUUUCAGACAUGAUUCAAAAGAGAUACUUUGCUCCUCUCAGUGUUAUGUACUGUAUAGUGAAUGAGGAUGGAGCUUCUAUCUACAGUGUAUCCAAAGAAGCUGAACAAGAAAUGCCAAAAUUAGAUCCAAAUGAAAGAAGUGCAGUGUCUAUAGCGAGGAGAUUACAAGACCCUUUGGUGGAGCUAGUAAAAAUUGAGCCGAAGCACAUUGGAGUUGGAAUGUACCAGCAUGAUGUAGCCGAUUCUCAGUUGAAAUCUAGUUUGGAUGGGGUCCUAGAAGAAUGUGUCAGUUUCGUGGGCAUUGAUCUCAAUAUUUGCACAGAAUCUCUACUAAAACGUGUGUCUGGCAUGAGUGCCCUCAAAGCUAAAAAAGUAAUAGAAUACAGAGAAAAGAAUGGGCCAUAUGUUAAUAGACAGCAGCUACUUGGUGUUAAGGGACUAGGGCCAAAGUCAUUUGAGCAGUGUGCUGGUUUUGUGAGGAUUACACCAAAUGUGAUUGGUGCCACAAAUACAAACCAUGUACAAGAGCCUAAGGAUGAAGUUGUUAGUAACAUUGCCAAAGGAACAAAAAGAAAAGCAGUUUCAAAGACAAGCACCAGUAAGAGACAGAAGAUGGAUGAGAAUCUUUCACCUAAUUGGCUUGAUAUGACAUGGAUCCAUCCAGAGUCUUAUGAUGUAACAAAUAGGCUUUUGAAGAAAAUUGGUAUAACAGCUAAUGAAAUUGGUCACCCUUCCAUGCAAAGAGCAGUGGACAAUUUUAUAUCUACCUCCAGCAAGUCUGGACAGUGUUGCAAAAGAUUUAAAUAUAGGAGCUCCUACCCUUGAUUUAAUAUUAAAUGGAUUAAAACAGCCCCUGGGACAGGAUAUCAGAGAUGAUUAUGAAAAGCCUCUUUUUAAGAAGGGUUUGACAUCAAUCAAUGAUUUGAAAAGUGGGACUUUUCUCACAGGCUGUGUUCAGAACACUACCC
rnacentral:misc_RNA from 1 species